GGGGAUUUAGCUCAGUGGUAGAGCGCUUGCCUAGCAAGUACAAGGCCCUGGGUUCAGUCCCCA
rfam:Rattus norvegicus chromosome 1, whole genome shotgun sequence.